GCCGGAAUAGCUCAGUUGGUAGAGCAGAGGACUGAAAAUCCUCGUGC
rnacentral:tRNA from 3 species